GUUUUCAAUGAGGAGACUCUCAGUUAGAUAGCAAAUGUUCCGUUUUUACAAAAAAUAUUAUUUGUGUUGACAAAUCGGUCCGUUUUCUUCAUCAUUCUUCAUCAUGUUUGGGUAAGAAAAAAAAAGAAAAUUAAGUCAUUAAAACGCGAACUUUUUUCCAAAUUAACUCCAUAAUAUCGACAGAAACAUGGCAAACCGAUGUUUAGAAUCAAUCCUCAAGGUGUUUUUCACAUAUCUAUCGACGAUAAAAUCCUUCGUGGCAGUUGACUUUCUCUUCUGAAGAAAUGGAACGCGCAUGGACCUACAGAUUACGCAAUAAUUUCGACACAGGACACCGGGCGGGACACCAGGUAAAUGUAGUCUCUUAUGGUCAAUCUUCCAAUGAUAUGCCUACGAACACGUCACAAUGCUGCAGACACCUUGGAGAAACGACACAAAGGGCAGGCUCAUUCCUGGCGCAUUCACAGCCAUAUAAGGAGACAUUGGAACACAGUGCCUUCAGAAUCUGGGGCAUUUCCUGUAUGAGACUUCAUCUUGUUUUGGAAACGUCAGAGUUUUGUCUUUCCAAGGCUGUCAAUUCCAUGCAUAGUCGAGCAUCUUUUUGUGACAAAAUAUUGCGCUUAAAACGGGCACGUCUUUUUAUCCAAUAAUGACAUAGUGCCCCCAUAGGUUGAAGAGGUUAACUGUCCUAACAUCUACUGUCUAUCCACAGGUUAACUGUCCUAACAUCUACUGUCUAUCCACAGGUUACUUUGACACUAACUGUUGUUUUGACACCACUAUAAAACACAAUAUCUAUAAGAGAUGGAAAUGAUCAUGAAUAUCUAUUACAGUAACAGGGGCGGAGCCAGAGGGGUGUCUGGGGUAUCUGCUCCUAAUACUGGACCAGGAGACCAGCAAACAGAUGUAUCAAGGGAUGACAUAAAGACCUCUGGCUCUGAGCAAGACAGUGAGCCAGAGCUGCCAGGAGAUGUCAUGGAGAUCCUCCCUACUGCAUCAAGCACCAGAUAUGCAGUUCCAAAAGGACCCAAUGACAUUUCAAGAUCCAGAGAAGAGGGUCCUAUACAGCCGUGUUUGAAAACAUUUCCCAGAAUGCAGCAUGGUACUAGG